rnacentral:lncRNA from 7 species
GAGGAUUUUGCCCUAGGUCAAUACAUCAAAUUUGUAGAGCUAUGAUAGGAUCACAAGUUUGCUUAAGUAGCUGAGCCUUGACGCUGUACAAAAAUUGGAGAUAAAUGGACUUGAAGUAUGGCUGUCAGUCACCACUGAAGUAUGAAAUUGGGCUGACAGUGAACACUGAUUAACUUUGGAGUUGAUUUGAGCUUAAUCGAGUAAGCAAAUGGCCAAGGUUCCUAUGGCCGAAUUGGAGCUGGUAUAUAGGUGAAUAACUUUGCUGUAAUUUGGUUGGUAGCUUUUCACAUAGAAAUUAAAGAAAAACACCCUUGAAGAUGCUCUAUCAGACAGACUGAAGAAGAUCUUGAUGGUACAGUGAACCGAAAGAUCCCAGGUGCAUAGAACCUCGCCACCAGUGGCCUCCACGCUCGGAUUCGCGCCGACCGCCAUGAUUCAUGCCCUCUGAUGUGUGGAUGACGAUCGACAGUGAAAAUAUCUUCACCGUGGAUGAGUUUGGGGCACUGUACUGGCCUGUCGCCGUACCCACUUGCCCAACGACAUGGCCGCACGAUCGUCGUCGUGGCUACCGCUGUUCCCUCGGUUGCGCCACGCCUUAGGCGGUUUACCACAUCGCUUCGAGCUGUGGGGGUUAACCAGUGGUAGCCGUACGCCUUUGUCCAGUGAAUGCCACAGUAGAACGCCACGAUGACUCAUACCCUCUUCUCGCCCGCCAGCGCUUCCCUUCAAAAUUCGGAGCUGCCGCUCAAAGCCUCUAUAAAUUGAUGCCCCAGCCUGUUCCACUAUGUUGUUACACGCCCAGUGCACCUGCCCUCGCCUCCGAUUAGCCACUGUAGCGCCCCAAUUUGUGUUUUCCCCCAAUUCGGUUCUCCGCGCCGCCGUGAGCCACCGUGCUGUGGGCCGUCGUCCCCAGGUCCGCUCUCGUCCUCCUUACCCUCGUUUCAGCACCCUUGCAUGCUAAAGAUGCUUAUCGGCCCAACCAAUUGAACUAGACCACACUAGAUUAUCGGGAACACCUCGGGUUGUCCUCGGUGUUCGCCGUCGUCAUGGACAGAGGGAUUUUGAGCUAGAAUUGUGCAAUUGAUGGAGGGAUUAGGGUCGCCAGGGGUAGAAUUUGGCGUCGACCAAGUAAGAAGCCUAGUCGUUGAGCAUUUUGGCCGGUACAAGUUCGCCAGAGGCAUGCUCGUUGUCAUUCACCGUCGUGGACUUGGCGCUGUAAAGAAAUAGAAAUACAGGGGCCUAUGUGAGAAUGCCAGAGAGACAAUGAAUAGUGGGCCGAGCGCGAGCGUGUUUCCCCAUUCUUUACUAGUUAUUUGAACAACCGGGGUCCCCUGUGCAAAGCCGCCAGCGCG